rnacentral:tRNA from 1 species
UGCCCAUUGGCCCAGUGGUUAAGGCGUCUGACUGUUAGCAAACAGAGAAUCAGAAGAUCCCUGGUUCGACCCCAGGAUGGGCAG